AGGCAGGAGGGAGGAGGAGAAGAGACACUUAACAAGUGUCUGUGAGGUGGCGUUUACAUUUAGAAUUCCCUUUCCUUUCAAAGGAAUCUCCAGGAUAGCCAAAGAGUCCAGCUUAAAGGUAGCCAGCCAGAAAAAGUGCCCAAACCACGCAGUGAGAUCACACCUUUGAAGACCCCACCUUGGCAUAGACUCUACGGCUUUCACGAAUGAUGCUGAGCUCUCAGCAGCACCAGAACCUCAGGCUCUGACACCCACAAAGCUGCAGGUCUCCAGGGCUGCUUGGGCCAAAAGGUGGGUUCUGGGCAGCCCCCUUCCUCCUGGUCCACUUCUAAACUACACUCUUCCCUGGGCAUAUCUGAUUCAUAAAGCCCAGGGCACGUGACUGAGUGACUGAAAACAACAGAAAUUUAUUGUUUUACAUUUCUGGAGACAAGAAGUCCAGAAUCAAGGUGUUGGCAGUGCUGCCCUCCCUCUGGAGGCUGUAGGGGACAAUCCAUUUUUUGCCUCUUCCAGCUCCGGAGCUGUAGACAUUCUUCGAUUUGUGGCCAAAUUGCUCCAAUCUCUGCCUCUCUGAUCACAGUGCCUCCUUCUCCUCCCUCUCUGUGCUAAAUCUCAUUCUGCCUUACAUUUAUAAGGACAUUGGCACUGGAUUUAGAGCCCACCAGAUAAUUUGGGAUGAUCUUCUUCAUAUCAAGAUCCUUCACAUCUGCAAAGAUCCUUUUUCCAUAUAAGGCUCCAAAUCACCAAACUUCUUUGCCUCUCUGGGAAAACUAAAUGACCCACCACUUCAGAAGAAGGUCAUGGGGUCUGUGCACAGCUUUUCACAUCCUCCCUGAAACACCAACACGCCCGGUCCAGGUUAAAGGAUAUCAGCACUGCCACACACUCUUCUUUUUCCCAAAUUAAUCAAGAAGUAGGAAUUUCUGACAAAUGCCAUCUGCUGAUUUUUCAGAGAGACAAGUUUUGGUGGUGUGACCAGCAGGUGCCUCGGCUUUUUCUAGCAUGCAGUACCAAAAUAGUCACCAUGGCAACCCUGGGAGGGCAGACUUCCAAAGAGAUGCAUUGUGAGCUCAGAAACUCUAGAGCACUUUCAAGCUAAAAGGAAGGAGGCUCAGCAGUGGGUUUCCAACUGUGGCAAGUAGCGGCUUCUCCCCACAUCCCUGGGCUGGACCCCAGGCCCCUGCAUACUGGGCACAGCCAGGACCCCCCGACCCCAGGGCCUGUGCUUCUAGGAAGAGGGGGAAAAUUGAAUUUGUGGGGAGUGGCAGGCAGGUGGAGCAGGCAACUCCCAGAUUUCUUGCAGGAGCUAAAGUAGCAUGGAGGGUGAUAAAUGGUGCCCACCUGGGUUGGGAGGCAGGAGAAUUGGGUUGAAAUACCUGCCCUGUCACUUGCUAACCAAUGACCUUGGGCAAUUGACUUGGCCUUUCUGACUCUCAGCUUCUCAUUUUCAAAAUGGGAGUGGUGAGCUUGCACUGCCUCUUCACAGGGAAAAUUGUGGAUAUGAUAGGAAGCUUGUGAAGACUGUUGGGAAAGUGCUCAGUGGACAGUGCAAAGCAGAAGAGAACAGGGAUUUGGGGAUCAGAAAGCUUGGGUUCCAGACCAGGCUCUGCUGCUUUCUAAUCUUAUGAGCUUGGGAAAGUCAUAGAGCUUGUCAAACCUACUCGCUCACCUUGGAAGAAGGCUCAGAAGCCCUGCCUCACAGAGUGGAUGUGCAGGUUAUCUGGGCUCUUUCUGUGACCUGGGAUUUUACACUCCCCUUCAGUGCAGACACCAAGACAGGAUGGACAAUACAGAGGAUUUUACUAGGGGAAACAUCUGUGAGAUAAAAAUGGGGAGGGAGCUGGUAGAGGCUAGAAGAGAGGAAAGGCUGGGAGAGCCAUCACACCUUGAUGCAAGUCUGACCUAAGUGCAGGAGGGAGGGAAGCAAGUUUGGGUGGAAGCUCCUAGACUGCCUAUAGCAAGGCCAUCAGAGAGUCCUCAAGCCAAAGUCACCUAUCAGAGAAGUUCCCUGUUUCUUGGAGACAGGUCUGCCUUAGUAUCCCUGCCACACUCAGUUGCUGAUUGUCUAGAAGCAGCCAACAGGAAGAGUGGCCUCUACAUAAAUAUGGGUGCAAGCAGCUGGAGGCCAUGAUCAACUGAACUCUCUCUUCAGGAGACAUAUUCUUAUGGCCACCACACCUACCCAAUCCUGAUGUCUUUUGCUUGAACAUCCACAUCAGCCUCCUUCCUUGGUUCACAAUGACAGUCCAACUUCUGCCAGUCCUGACUGUCAUUCAAGCCUUUUUGCUAUUUAAGAAUUUUGAGGAAGAAAACCGUCAUGUACUCAAAAUCCUGGUAAUCAGAAGUGUCUGGAGAUUUCGAGCUGUUAACAUAGAGAGGUGGCAAAAUUAUUUUCUGGGAUAUCCUUAUGGGCCUGAAUGGCAGCGGGAGUCGACAUAGCUGGUGCCUGGGCAGGUUUCCAAAGCACAGCCGAGGUGGAGAGUAGGUGAGGGCUGCAACAAAGGUCCCGACAUCUGAAGAGCACUGCACAGUUUGUCAGAGGAUUUCAGCUCCACACUCUCACUUAGUCCUCACAGCAACCCCAUGCAGUGACUGCUGUCACUUCUUUUCAUGGCUGAGAAGACUGUUGGGAGAGGAAAAAUGAAUUGCCCACUGGCAGGCAGAUUCAUAAUCCACUUAGGAAAAAGGAGGGGGGAUGCACGGAGUUAGCACAUAUUAAGUGCCUGCUGUAGUCAAGCCCUGUUGGACACCAGGGACAUCUGGACCUUGACAACGGAGCGAAGGGGUGGUCCUGCCUGCACCAGGUUUCAGUGGCUUCUCAGGCUUCUCUGCAGCAUGGGUGUUCCUGCCUUGGCCAGAGCCGAAAUCCCAGAGCAGUGAAAGAGGAGCCAGUGUCAUGGGGCUUCUGGUUUCAGGACACACUGGAAAGGUGAGAAGGAAGCUUGUCUUCCCAUGGAUCUGGGCCAGGCCUGGGUGGCGGGGCCUCCCCGCCAGGAGCUGGGACGUUCCCCAGGUGCCCGGGCAUCCCCAGGUCAGGAGGGCCGCCAGCAGUUUUUCAAAGCAUUAGCUUGGUCAAAAAAUAAAUCAUUAGGCACUUUGCGGAGACCAGAUGCUUUGUCAGUGCAGGCAAAACCUGACCCAGAAUCUGCAGCCUGGGAAGGCCUUAUGCUCACCUGGCUUAGGGGCCAGUUUGGGGAAAAGAGGCCCCUGCUCUUUGUACCUGCUUCUUGGAGGACUUGAUGAGAAGACCUACACACCUUGACCUCCAUGACUUUGACCUUCACACCUUGGCCACGCCCUUCUCACCACUACUACCCAUCAGCCACCAGCCACCAGCCACCACUCCACCUCUCUACCCCCAACCCUCAUCAGACUGUCACCUACUUUCAAGGUUCAGAUAUUGCUCCCUAUGUGAAAUCUUGUCUGGCCCUCUUUCUCCCAGUCAGGAAUAAUUCACCCCUCCUCUCUUCUCUGUGUCCUUAGUGUUCUCUGUGAACGUGGUAGCCGUCUCAGACCAGUCUGUGCUGGAGUUAUCCUGGCACCCAGCCUACAAUCAGAGGAAAUAUGCGGUUCAUCCAUGGAAUUUGAGUCAGGCCUAGUUUUCACCUCUUCUGAGGGUGGAGCAGGGCCUCUGGGCUGGAGGGAUACAGACAGUGUAGAAGAUGCUACGGUGUCCCACCAGCUCCCCUUUUAAGGACCAAUGCACACCCCCUGCCCCCAGCUGCUAAAUGUCACCUGUUUGCCUGCUAAUGACUCAAUGAUGCCCCCCUUCUCCAGAGAAUGGCUCUCAGAAGACAGAAGCUGCAUCUCCACGAGAUUACAACUUUCUCCCCAUACCUGCUCCCCAAUCACUGCCACCACAGGCAAUGACUAAGUGACACAGAAAUGCAAAAGGGCAGUUCCCUCCCCUCAGGAAGGGACACCUCUGCGGUAUGCUUUAGGCUCCAGAGAGUCAGUCCACUUCUACCCCCUCUCCAAGGAUCAGGCCAAGGCUGGCUUUCCCUGAGAUCACAGUUUAUGAUGACCAGCCUGAAUUUCAGUUUUACACUGAAAUUCCCGUAUCCCAUCAGUUUUGGGCAAAUGGGGCUGAUUGACUAGCUUAGACUGGGUUACCAGAUUUAGCAAAUAAAAAUACAAGAUACCCGGCUGUAUUUGCAUUUCAAAUAAACUAAGGAUACGUUUUGAGUAUAAGUAGGCCUCAUGCAAGACUUGCAACAUACUUAUAGUAAGAAAUUACUCAUUGUUCAUCUGAAAUGCAAAUUGACCUGGGCAUCCUGUAUUUUAUCUGGUAGCCUGGCCCUUGACCACGCCUGUGUUUGUCUCUCUCCCUGCUCCUAUCCUGCUUCCUUUCCUCUCUCCCUUGCAGGUUUUUCCUGAAGAACACUCCCCCAGUAAAUCACGUGUACCUAAAUCCUUGCCUCAGGCUCUGCUUCUAGGGAAUCUGAUCUAAGACUGUCAUUUGUCCCUCUCUGCUGUCUAAGGUGGCCAGAGAAGUCCUUUCAUUUCCCCUGAACCUUGCAGAAACUCUUUUUGUUCAGACUUCGCCUGGUCCACCUUGGCUAGAGUGAAGGAAAUCAUGACACCAAUUGUCACCAGCUGAGUCCCCCACGUCCUCACAACAGCCCUGAGUGGUGGCUACAAUUCUUAGAUCCAUUUUUAGAUGAGGAAACUGAGGCAAGAGAGAUGCAAUAGCUUACCUGGCUGCACAGAAAGUGGCAGAGCCUCAAUACAGAACCAUAUUUCCUGCCUCUUAGACUCCUGCUUCAUAGGUGCCUCCCAGGGAAUUCAGGAGAGACACAAAAGCAAGGCUUUAGCUUUGCUUAUCUACCCCCUCCUGGCCCCUGCAGCAUUUGGACUUCAAGUUUUGACCUUGUCUCUUGGAUGGGGGCCCUAGGAUGGGGCCAUUCUAGG
rnacentral:lncRNA from 10 species